AACCCAUGGAGAGGGCACCUUCUCAAAUGUCCUUGUAUCUCUCUCAUGCAUCGUAGAGUGUUUCUAAAUCCAUUUGCACAAAAGAAGAGAUAUCAUUAUGUAAUU
rnacentral:snoRNA from 1 species